CGGGGUGUAGCGCAGCUUGGUAGCGCGUCUCGUUCGGGGCGAGAAGGUCGGAGGUUCAAAUCCUCUCACCCCGA
rnacentral:tRNA from 1 species